rnacentral:tRNA from 1 species
GCUCGAGUAGCUCAGUUGGUUAGAGCGUUCGGUUCACAUCCGAAAGGUCUCUGGUUCGAGCCCAGACUCGAGCA